rnacentral:rRNA from 1 species
GUAGACGAAAGUUACGCUAAUACCGCAUACGAUCUACGGAUGAAAGCGGGGGAUCGCAAGACCUCGCGCGAAUGGAGCGGCCGAUGUCAGAUUAGGUAGUUGGUGGGGUAAAGGCUCACCAAGCCAACGAUCUGUAGCUGGUCUGAGAGGACGACCAGCCACACUGGAACUGAGACACGGUCCAGACUCCUACGGGAGGCAGCAGUGGGGAAUUUUGGACAAUGGGCGCAAGCCUGAUCCAGCCAUUCCGCGUGCAGGAUGAAGGCCUUCGGGUUGUAAACUGCUUUUGUACGGAACGAAACGGUCUGCCCUAAUACGGUGGGCUAAUGACGGUACCGUAAGAAUAAGCACCGGCUAACUACGUG